ACAUAAUAGUGUUAAUGUUGUUUGAUUUCUGCCAUUACUAUAAAGUUGGAACUUUCUUUAUGUUAUUGACAAAGUUGGUUGAAUGUGUUGGUGAAAUUUCUUGGUUGGAUUUUAGGUUUAACUUUGUGUUGCAGUGAUUGUGUACAUAUGUGUGUUCAACCUCUUUAAUUUAAGGACAAAUAUUCUAUAUUGACGGUCAACUUUCACUGAUAAAUGAAGACCAACAUUUUUGCUCCAUGGCGUGCUCAGAUUGUCAAUUGCCAUUUUUAAGAACUACUACACCAAGGCCAAUCUAUUGCAUCCAGUGUGAAAGAUCCACCCAACUUAUUCCCAGGUAUUACUGAUAAACAUAGCAUCGACAAAUAUUCAACCUUUAAAGAAAUACUAAAAGACGUUUACACUUACAUUACUCAACUCAACCGCUGAAACUACUAUGAAACUACUUUAUUCGCGUAAAAAUAAAAAUAGGAGGAGGAUCUUAUACCAUAGAUUAUAUCAUACAAUAAAGACAUAUAAUUACCAUUUAUAUAUAUGAAAUUUUAAAGACUAUAAUACUCUACGAACAUUUCCCG